GCUUACGGCCAUACCACGUUGAAUACACCAGUUCUCGUCCGAUCACUGAAGUUAAGCAACGUCGGUUUCCUCUUUUUUUUAUUUACAUAAUAUUGAAAUAU
rnacentral:rRNA from 1 species